AUAAAAUUGUGGAAGCUCAAAAUUUCUCCAAGAGUGAAGAUAUUCCUCUUGUUUCUAAAUAAAGGAAUCAUCUUAACUAGAGAUAACCUGGUACGAUGCAACUGGCAAGGUAGUAAGACAUGUGUAUUUUGCCAACAUGACAAAUCCGUUAAACACUUAAUUUUUGAGUGUAAGUUCGCUCGUGCAGUCUGGACCAUAGUUCAGGUAGUUUCAAAUCUAUAUCCUUCGCAUAGUGCACGUAACAUGUUCGGCAAUUUGUUGCAGGGUAUUGAUAAAUAA
rnacentral:rRNA from 1 species